rnacentral:lncRNA from 1 species
GGCAAGCCUGGAGGCACACCAAUCGUAAGCCUGUGCGUACCCCUAGACACUCCCCUUACGCUGCCCUAUAAGAUCUUUUGGGAGACCCUAGGAGCCGUCUUUUUCUAGCCGUCUGCCAUGGCGGGUGGGUGAAAGACCCGAGCUAACAUGGGGUUAGCUCGUAAAACUACAAUAAAGCCUCAUGCAGUUUGCAUCAAGCUUUCGCCUCCAUUCUGUGUUUGGGGUGGCCGCCGUCCUGGGCUAAGAUUCUGGAAGCCUCAGCUUUCUGAGGGUCUAACACCAACUUGACAGGCUCUAGAAUUCCUGAGGAGAGUGCUGCCUUCAACAGACAGAUGAGAUAUCUUCAAGGCUGCUGGAAAAGCCCCAACAAGAUGAUCUCAAGGAGCUCCUAGAGGCCGUCCAAAGGUCUCCAAAGAAGAUGAUUCCAUCUGGAUUGUGGUAACACUAGCCAAUGGUUGAAACUGCCCCAUACCUCACCCGCCUCGAGGACCCCGCUGAGACUGUGGACAAGCAGGACACUGGAGAGCUCACUGCCCCUCUUUGCCUCACCAAGAUUUCCACUCAGCUAAGACACCAUCCAUGAAUCAGCUGUGGACUACAAAAGGCUCCAAAUUGCCACGAGCCCUGGACCUGCUGAAAGCUGAUGUAAACCAGUCCAGCCAAUGUGAUUGGUUACACCCUGCCUCUUCAGCUGGGUCAGCAAACCAAAUGCUUCUGAUGAAGUCCACCCCCACUCCACGCCACCCCACCCCCCAGACUGCCCGAAUCAGCAACCCUUGGACUUUGACUAGCAUUACAGUUUUCAUGGGCCCUGACAACAUCUUAAUCUCAGCUGAAAAGCAGUUACAGUAGAGAUUGUAAUUGUAUCAGGCUUUCUUUUAUGGGGCCACCAUCACAAAUCAUGACACAGAGACUUAUUGAGUUAUGAAUGCUCACUCUUAGCUUAAACUCUUUUUUUUUUUCCAUUGUUUGUUUUUGUUUUUCGAGACAGAGUUUCCCUGUGAAACAGUCCUGAUUGUCCUGGAUCUCACUUUGUAGACCCUGCCUCUGCCUCCUGAGUGCUGGGAUUAAAGGUGUGGGUUUAAGCUCAUUUCUUGUUAGCUUUUAUAACUUAACCUGUUUCUCCUCAUCUACACUUUGCCUCAGGGCUUUUUCCCUUUCUUUCUGUGUAUCUUACUUCCCUGCUUCCUCCAGUGGCUGGCUAGCUGGAGGCUGCCCAGUUCCUGACCCCAGCCAUCUCCCUUUCCUUCUCCCUCAUCCUCUUCUCUCUAGAUUCCUUCUCCUAUUUAUUCUUUCUGCCCAUCAGCCCCACCUAUCUGUCUCCUUACUAGCUAUUGGCCGUUCAGCUUUUUUACUACACCAAUCAAGUGCCUAGGCAGGCAAGGUGAAACAGCAACACAUCCUUGCCUAGUUAAAAUAAUAUUCCACAACAGCACAUUGCCCCUUAUCCAUAACAAAAGGCUGAGUCUAAAGGAACUGGGGUCCUGCUGGAAGGGACCACACCUUGUUAUCCUGACCACCUCCACUGCUGUCAAGGUAGACAGAAUCCACACCUGGAUAUAUCACCCCAGGAAGCAUGUCACAGGGGAUAACAAUCUGGCUGCAGAAAAAUGGACUGUCACCAAGGCCUGAGAAGGUUCACUAAAGAUAAGACUGAUACAGACUGUAGACUAAUAAUGUUGUUUUGUCUGACUGUUUCCUCCUCUUUCAUGGGAUAUUUGUCUAGAUUCCACUUUAAGAGCAAAUACAAACUUGUCAUAAAUGUCUCACAGCUCCUGGCCACCACUUCUUCAGGCAGACUUUCCUUCCUUCACCUCCUGGUUGAAACUGCUUGGUUUGUAAGUGCUAACAGUUUGCACCCUUGCUUGCCUCCUUGGUAGGUGCAUCAAUCCCCAAAAUUCUGUAUCUUGGUGUUCCUCUUCCCCUGGAUGUAUGUUCAUGAUAGUCCAGUAUGGAGGAAACACUGUAUACACAGACACAGGACCUUCCAGCCUCCACGUUCAAGGAAAAAACUCGAAGUUUCUCUCCUUAUCCUCCCCAUAGUAAGUUUAGGAUUGGGACCAGCUGGAACGGCUCUCAGGGCAAAAGGCACGGCAAGGGCUGAUGUCAACUACAAAACAGGGCCUCAGAUAACCCAGGAUUUAUUUGCUUUACAAGAGUCUAUUGCAAAAUUAGAAGAACAGGUCGACCCAGUGGCCGAGGGAGUCUUACAACAUGGUAGGAUGUUUGAUCUACUUUAUACACAACAAGCAGGUUACCAUAUGUCUUGUGGGAAACUUGCUGCUUCCAUGCAAAGCACCCAGGAGUUAUCAAAGAUAAUCUGGCUGAACUCCAAAACCACCUCACACAGAGGGGAAAGGCCCUACAAGGAGGAAAUAAAUGGCUCCCAUUUCUUUCUUGGGUUCUUCCUGGCUGGGAACUCUGCUGUCAGCCAUUGCGGGGCCCUUAGUGCUGCUUUUCCUGCUGGUCACUCUUGGCUCCUGCAUCAUUAAGGCCUUAACCAGAUAUAUAAGUCCAUGUGAACAAGUACCCACCCCAGAGUCAAGGAUUUGACUUAGGAUAAAGCUCAAGGGGG